rnacentral:rRNA from 1 species
AGAGUUUGAUCAUGGCUCAGAUUGAACGCUGGCGGCAGGCCUAACACAUGCAAGUCGAGCGGAUGAAGGGAGCUUGCUCCUGGAUUCAGCGGCGGACGGGUGAGUAAUGCCUAGGAAUCUGCCUGGUAGUGGGGGAUAACGUCCGGAAACGGGCGCUAAUACCGCAUACGUCCUGAGGGAGAAAGUGGGGGAUCUUCGGACCUCACGCUAUCAGAUGAGCCUAGGUCGGAUUAGCUAGUUGGUGGGGUAAAGGCCUACCAAGGCGACGAUCCGUAACUGGUCUGAGAGGAUGAUCAGUCACACUGGAACUGAGACACGGUCCAGACUCCCACGGGAGGCAGCAGUGGGGAAUAUUGGACAAUGGGCGAAAGCCUGAUCCAGCCAUGCCGCGUGUGUGAAGAAGGUCUUCGGAUUGUAAAGCACUUUAAGUUGGGAGGAAGGGCAGUAAGUUAAUACCUUGCUGUUUUGACGUUACCAACAGAAUAAGCACCGGCUAACUUCGUGCCAGCAGCCGCGGUAAUACGAAGGGUGCAAGCGUUAAUCGGAAUUACUGGGC